AAUAAUGAAAAACUGCACACAAAGACUGACAAACAACCAAUGUGCUAAAGAAGACAAACAGUGCAAAUGCAAAAAAAACCCCAAACUAUCUAACUAACUAACAGUGAGGACAUGAGCUGCCGAGUUUGCAUAGGUUGUGGAAUCAUUCCAGUGUUCAGGUUCAAUGCAAGCUUAACAAACAACACCUCAUUUUCCUUGUGGGUAUGUUGCAACUUACUGGACUCCAUACCAAAUUCUACAACUUUAACUACAAAUGGCUGAGUGGCUAG